AUUAAAUUGGGGUGUGGCGGCGGAGUCAAUGAAGGGGAGCCACCUUGAUGAGGUCAAACGCAUGGUGGCGGAGUACAGGAAGCCGGUGGUCCGGUUGGGCGGAGAGACGCUGACUAUAGCUCAGGUGGCUGCCGUUGCAGCACAUGACCAGCACAAUGGUGUGAGCGUUGAACUGUGCGAGUCAGCCAGAGCUGGUGUCAAGGCCAGCAGUGACUGGGUGAUGAAUAGCAUGAACAAAAAUUAACAACUCUCCCAAAUUAACAUUUCCACAUUCAACACAACAAUCUCUCCCUCACAACUUGAGCAACCCAGCUCCACUUUUGUUUUGAUAGGCAAUCUUUCAAGUGAAAUAUAUUUAUCAGUUUGCAUUACUAAGAUGGCAGCAACCACCAACAGCCAAAACAGUUCCCUUUUUUGCACUGCUAAAGGCGGUAGUGAUCCAUUAAAUUGGGGUGUGGCGGCGGAGUCAAUGAAGGGGAGCCACCUUGAUGAGGUCAAACGCAUGGUGGCGGAGUACAGGAAGCCGGUGGUCCGGUAAUGGCACUGACAGUUACGGUGUCACCACCGGCUUCGGCGCCACCUCCCACCGCAGAACCAAAAAUGGCAAUGCUUUGCAGCUAGAACUCAUCAGGUACUAUACUAUACU
rnacentral:lncRNA from 1 species